AGCCCUACGGGAGGCAGCAGUGGGGGAUAUUGCACAAUGGGGGGAACCCUGAUGCAGCGACGCCGCGUGAAGGAAGAAGUAUCUCGGUAUGUAAACUUCUAUCAGCAGGGAAGAAAAUGACGGUACCUGACUAAGAAGCCCCGGCUAACUACGUGCCAGCAGCCGCGGUAAUACGUAGGGGGCAAGCGUUAUCCGGAUUUACUGGGUGUAAAGGGAGCGUAGACGGAAUAGCAAGUCUGAUGUGAAAACCCGGGGCUCAACUCCGGGAGUGCAUUGGAAACUGUUGAUCUAGAGUGUCGGAGAGG
rnacentral:rRNA from 1 species